rnacentral:rRNA from 1 species
CAAUAGCGUAUAUUAAAGUUGUUGCAGUUAAAAAGCUCGUAGUUGGAUUUCGGGAUGGCCCGGCCGGUCUGCCGCAAGGUAUGUUACUGGCCGAGCUGUUCUUCUUCGCAAAGACUGUGUGUGCUCUUAACUGAGUGUGCUCAGGAUCUGUGACGUUUACUUUGAAAAAAUUAGAGUGUUCAAAGCAAGCCAGCGCUUGAAUACAUAAGCAUGGAAUAAUGGAGUAGGACUUUGGUUCUAUUUUGUUGGUUUCUGGAACCUUAGUAAUGAUUAAGAGAGACAGUUGGGGGCAUUCGUAUUUCGUUGUCAGAGGUGAAAUUCUUGGAUUUACGAAAGACGAACUACUGCGAAAGCAUUUGCCAAGAAUGUUUUCAUUAA